CCGUACACAAAAGCGCAUGUGUUGUGAGCUCGAUGAGUAGGGCGGGACACGUGGUAUCCUGUCUGAAUAUGGGGGGACCAUCCUCCAAGGCUAAAUACUCCUGACUGACCGAUAGUGAACCAGUACCGUGAGGGAAAGGCGAAAAGAACCCCGGCGAGGGGAGUGAAAAAGAACCUGAAACCGUGUACGUACAAGCAGUGGGAGCACCCUUUUGGGUGUGACUGCGUACCUUUUGUAUAAUGGGUCAGCGACUUAUAUUCUGUAGCAAGGUUAACCGAAUAGGGGAGCCGGAGGGAAACCGAGUCUUAAUUGGGCGUUAAGUUGCAGGGUAUAGACCCGAAACCCGGUGAUCUAGCCAUGGGCAGGUUGAAGGUUGGGUAACACUAACUGGAGGACCGAACCGACUAAUGUUGAAAAAUUAGCGGAUGACCUGUGGCUGGGGGUGAAAGGCCAAUCAAACCGGGAGAUAGCUGGUUCUCCCCGAAAGCUAUUUAGGUAGCGCCUCGUGAAUUCAUCUCCGGGGGUAGAGCACUGUUUCGGCUAGGGGGCCAUCCCGGCUUACCAACCCGAUGCAAACUGCGAAUACCGGAGAAUGUUAUCACGGGAGACACACGGCGGGUGCUAACGUCCGUCGUGAAGAGGGAAACAACCCAGACCGCCAGCUAAGGUCCCAAAGUCAUGGUUAAGUGGGAAACGAUGUGGGAAGGCCCAGACAGCCAGGAUGUUGGCUUAGAAGCAGCCAUCAUUUAAAGAAAGCGUAAUAGCUCACUGGUCGAGUCGGCCUGCGCGGAAGAUGUAACGGGGCUAAACCAUGCACCGAAGCUGCGGCAGCGACACUCAGGUGUUGUUGGGUAGGGGAGCGUUCUGUAAGCCUGUGAAGGUGUGUCGUGAGGCAUGCUGGAGGUAUCAGAAGUGCGAAUGCUGACAUAAGUAACGAUAAAGCGGGUGAAAAGCCCGCUCGCCGGAAGACCAAGGGUUCCUGUCCAACGUUAAUCGGGGCAGGGUGAGUCGACCCCUAAGGCGAGGCCGAAAGGCGUAGUCGAUGGGAAACGGGUUAAUAUUCCCGUACUUGGUGUUACUGCGAAGGGGGGACGGAGAAGGCUAUGUUGGCCGGGCGACGGUUGUCCCGGUUUAAGCGUGUAGGUGUGUGUUCCAGGUAAAUCCGGUU
rnacentral:rRNA from 1 species